UACGUAGGGUGCGAGCGUUGUCCGGAAUUACUGGGCGUAAAGAGCUCGUAGGUGGUUUGUCACGUCGUCUGUGAAAUUCCGGGGCUUAACCUCGGGCGUGUAGGCGAUACGGGCAAUACUUGAGUGCUGUAGGGGAGACUGGAAUUCCUGGUGUAGCGGUGAAAUGCGCAGAUAUCAGGAGGAACACCAAUGGCGAAGGCAGGUCUCUGGGCAGUUACUGACGCUGAGGAGCGAAAGCAUGGGUAGCGAACAGGAUUAGAUACCCU
rnacentral:rRNA from 1 species